rnacentral:rRNA from 1 species
AUUGAACGCUGGCGGCAGGCAUAACACAUGCAAGUCGAACGAGUGGCGGACGGGUGAGAAUGUCUGGGAAACUGCCUGAUGGAGGGGGAUACCUACUGGAAACGGUAGCUAAUACCGCAUACCAUCAGAUGUGUCCAGAUGGGAUUAGACAGUUGGUGGGGUAACGGCUCACCAAGGCGACGAUCCCUAGAUGGUCUGCGAGGAUGACCAGCAACCCUGGAACUGAGACAAGGUCCAGACUCCUACGGGAGGAAGAAGUGGGGAAUAUUGCACAAUGGGCGCAAGCAUGAUGCAGCCAUGCCGCGUGUAUGAAGAAGGCCUUCGGGUUGUAAAGUACUUUCAGCGGGGAGGCGUUACCCGCAGAAGAAGCACCGGCUAACUCCGUGCCAGCAGCCGCGGUAAUAC